GGAAUGAAAUAAUUUCUGUGAAAAUGCACCCUGGUGCACAGCAAAGGCCAGGAAGUGAAUCCUCUCUAAGCCCGCCCCCUUUGUAAAGUAAUUCCUAAAAUGCAGCAGCACCUGACCAGUUCUGCCUGUGACGUUUCUCUUCCCCCAUCCAGAACAAAAAAAAUACAGGAUUCCAAACACAGCAGGGAGCUCCAUGCCCCAGCUCUGCGGGGUUUUUGUGCUCUCAACUGAUACUCCAAAGCCGCAAGCUCGCUGCACGGUGGGGCUGAGCAGGAGCGCUGGCUGGAGGGAAGCUCCUCCAGGCCAGCCCCGCUCUCAGCAGGGUCGAGGUGGGGGCAAAAAGGGAAAAGCGGCUCUGGUCGGAUCAUGGGCAGCUCCCAGCCCCUCCCGUGCAUCGCCCCAGCCCUGCUCACCUGCUGCCAGCUGCAUCCAGGCACACACUUUAUAGACGGUGGCUGCGUUACAGAAGAAGAAGAGGCUGAAGCAGAGGAUGGAGCCAAUUAUGAGGAAGGUGGAUAUACCUACGAAGAACAUGGCAGUUUUGAAGGCACUGGAAGGGAUGGUGCCGAAGUCGAGGGGGCUGCCCUUGCAGAUGA